rnacentral:rRNA from 1 species
GGGUGAGAUCAUACCAACGUUAAUGCAUCGAAUCCCAUCAGAACUCCGCAGUUAAGCGCACUUGGGCUAGAGUAGUGCUAGGAUGGGUGACCUCCAGGGAAGUCUUAGUGUUGCACCAU